AAUUAUAUUCUCUUCGGAGUUGAGCUGGGUUUGAUUUAUACAAACUUUAUGAGCUUUUCAUGAAAUUUUCAGCAAGUAAAAAAAAGGGGUUUGUUCAUGAGCUGGGGUCCAUAAGUGGCAGAUCCAUAUGAACUCACUCGCCACACAACAUCAUCAUUCAUCUCUUUUUGCUAAAACCUGGUGAAACCCUAAAAGAAGGAAAUUAGAAUCAGAUUAAACAAAGUUCAAA